rnacentral:rRNA from 1 species
AGUACAAGUACCGUGAGGGAAAGUUGCAAAGUACUUUGAAGAGAGAGUUCAAUAGAACGUGAAACCGUUAUGCUGGAAGCAAAUGAAACCGAAGGCAAGCCGUGCCAUUCCUUUGGAUAGGUGGUUGUUUGGCUUGGCGGGUGCGUUCCCUCGGGGGCGUGCUCGUCGGGCUCGACGGCUGCUGGUCUGAUUGAUUUGGUGCGGUAUGCUCUUGAGAACCGCGGCGUCCGUGUCUCGCCCUCACGUUGGCUCCUAACCGUCGCCGGUUAGCGAGACGGCGGAGGCGCGUGGACUACCGACGCUGCGGGGCUACGUCGCUUACUUGCGUCCCCAUGUCGCUGUCGUCGGCUCGUGGCUGUACUGCUUGCAGUGCACUGCGACCGGUGGCUGUCGGGAGGGGCGCGAUUCCGCGGCGGGCUCUCGGGAGUGCCGUCGGUGCAUUAUUUGACCCGUCUUGAAACACGGACCAAGGAGUUUAGCAUGAUCGCGAGUCAUUGGGCGCGUAAAACCCAUUGGCGCAAUGAAAGUGAGUCACGCGAUCUGGUGAUUUUCGAAUCGUCAGCGCAGCGUGGCCCCAUGGCAAGGCCUUGGCCUACUGUGGAGGCUGAGCGAUCACGCUUAGACCCGAAAGAUGGUGAACUAUGCUUGUGCAGCCUGAAGCCAGAGGAAACUCUGGUGGAGGGGCGAAGCGGUUCUGACGUGCAAAUCGAUCGUCUGACGUGAGCAUAGGGGCGAAAGACUAAUCGAACCAUCUAGUAGCUGGUU